rnacentral:tRNA from 1 species
GGGCGUGUAGCUCAGCUGGUAGAGCAGGCGACUCUUAAUCGCCGAGUCCGGGGUUCGAAUCCUCGCACGCCCA